rnacentral:lncRNA from 1 species
GGCUGGGGCUGGAUGCUGUCCUGUCCUGUGGCAGGAUCAGGAGGUGAAUGGAACACCUUGCCUGCCACACCUUCACGGUAACUGCUCACAUGAACCUUGCAGCUGCAUUAGAAAACCCAAUGAGGGGCCUGUUCAGACAUGCGCUGUGCACUAUUCACACCGCCUGCUCUCCGGGAAGGAGUCUUUUCUGUGAGGCUGGCAGACUCUACAGGAUACUUUCCUGGGUCUCCCUGUUCAUCCUGCCCAGGGGAUCCACUCUGAGAAGUUAUGUGUGAACUUGCAGAUUUUUGUGUGAGAGAGCUCCAAAUGAUUACUUUAGGAUAGAAAACAUAACUGUAGGGUUAGUGUAUCACCUGCACAACAUCAAUCAGCAUUGCAUUUAGCUUGUGGUAUUUUUUGUGUUCUCUUUCAUUGAGUAUAAAUUCUUACAUCUUGGCAGGCAUGGCAGUGCGUGCCUGUAAUCCCAGCACUCAGGAAGUUGAGGCAGGGGGAUCACUGUGAGUUCAAAGCCAGCCUGAGCUAUACGCAGUGAAACCGUAUCUCAAAAAAAAAAAAAAAAAAAAUUCUUAGCUCCUCAAAUUCUCCUUGAAACAUCUUUAUGAUCUUGAGGAUUCCCUCAUUCAUGAGUUCAAGAAAUCUGGCACACAAUCACUUUA